ACAAGCAGCAAUCUUUGUAGGAGAUACUAGUAGAAACUACCGAAUGAACAGCCUUCGUUCGAAACGUCGAAGUUCUGUUUAUAUUUUUCAGGUAUAGCUGUAUUUCUUAUACAAUUCGAUAUUGCAAUAAUCAGUAUCAAUUUUGUGUGUUUAUUCUUUUAUAUAGGACUAUGGCAGUGGGAAGAUGUUGAGCGGCGAAAUUAAGAAAGAACUCAUCUCAGUUAUACAACCUUUAGUAGCGGCACAUCAAGAACGAAGGAAGGAAGUCACGCCUGAAGUGGUCAAACAAUUUAUGACACCAAGAAAAUUAAAUUUUUAAAGUGGUACAUGAUAUACUGAACUUAAAGUAGAGAUAUAGCAAGAUACAGUAUUAUAAAGAUGUACAGUGAUUGUUAAAAUUGCCAUUUGCAUGAAUGAAGUCUGUAUGAACCAGGCCACUUGGUGCCUAGGCUCGAUUUCCAGCGAGCCUACUUGGUGCCCAGGUGUCACUAAGAGUAGUAGCCACUGUCAGUGAUGGCCGGCAUAGGUGAUCAACUUCAAAAAUGUCAACACUGAUUGAUGCAAGAAAGUUAAUAAAACCAGCCAGACUCUCCCCCCAAGAAGUAAACUUUUCUGGCAUUAAAUAAAGUAAAAAACCCCAUAAAGUGUUGGGUACAUUGCAGCUUAAUUAACGAGACACAUUCGCAGAUACUUUGGUUAAAUUUGAAAUUUCAUUUAUGACACCCAUAUUUUGCCAUAUGGAACCAUGGCACCACUUCAUGCACCAGUAAUUCAAUGUGAUUAUUUCCGAAUGCUGGGAGUAAUCGGUGGCUAUUACUAUAACAAUGAAUGGGGAAUCGGGGAAAGGAAGCGGUGACCGCACUUGAGAGUUGAGAAUCGCUCAAAAAACUAAUAAUAUAUUCAAUCAUUCAGAUUAUGUGACUACUCACUUGCCAAUAUACAGUAUUAUAUCUUAUGAUUGAUAUUAGGCCAUGUUUUCACUUUCAUGCUAUAAAUACAGUACUGCUUGUACUGUAGCUUUGAUAAGCUAUAUAUAUAUAGUGUGAGUGAAGAACACAACAAAAAAUAACAAGAAGCAACUAAUUAUCUUAUAUAGUUAUAUUCUACGGUUUUUGACAGCUAGGCCUAGGAAUCUUUGGUUUGACAGAUUUGGCAGCUUGCAAGUGAGCAAUGUUUAUGUUUACCGUCCAAAAGCCGUCUUUUUUAGAAGGCCGUCCAAAUUUGAAAAUGGCCGUCCAAAAGACGGCUGGACGGGUAGGCUGGCUAAGACCCUGUGUGCAAGACUCUCCACGCGUGAAAUCAUCUGGCAGUAGACAAAUUGGGCACACUGCAGCUUAAUUGGCAGAUACUGUAUUUUGGUUAACCCACCAAUGCGCAGGACUCUUGGACCGUUAUGAGAAAAUAGACUGGUGUUAGACAAAGUAAAAUAACAAAGUAGAGUGCAUUUGACACAUUGCAGCGUAAUGUGUUUAUUACAACUUUGAUGAUUGUACAAUAAAUUUUAAAAUAUGCAUUCUUGUGGAUUUGCAGUGAACAUAAUUUAUUAUCUAAUAAUUUGCCUGUCAAUUGUAAUUUAAUACUAGAACUAUAGUAAUACUAGAACUAUGCAAAAAUGAGUCUCUGGGGUGCAUGUGCAUUGCACUCUUUCGAUAAUUAUGUCACAAAUCCAUUGUUGGCUGGGAGCCUUGUUCUCAUGAAUCAUGAGCGAAUAGCCUUUCA